UACGAAGGGUGCAAGCGUUACUCGGAAUUACUGGGCGUAAAGCGUGCGUAGGUGGUUUGUUAAGUCUGAUGUGAAAGCCCUGGGCUCAACCUGGGAAUUGCAUUGGAUACUGGCAGGCUAGAGUGCGGUAGAGGAUGGCGGAAUUCCCGGUGUAGCAGUGAAAUGCGUAGAUAUCUGGAGGAACACCGGUGGCGAAGGCGGCAUCCUGGACCGAGAUUGACGCUGAGGCGCGAAAGCCAGGGGAGCAAACGGG
rnacentral:rRNA from 1 species